GGCCCGUUGGAGAAACGGUCAACUCAUUUGCCUUUCACGCAAACAUUCACGGGUUCGAAUCCCGUACGGGUCACCA
rnacentral:tRNA from 1 species